GAUGAACGCUGACGGCGUGCCUAAUACAUGCAAGUCGAGCGAACGGACGAGAAGCUUGCUUCUCUGAUGUUAGCGGCGGACGGGUGAGUAACACGUGGAUAACCUACCUAUAAGACUGGGAUAACUUCGGGAAACCGGAGCUAAUACCGGAUAAUAUUUUGAACCGCAUGGUUCAAAAGUGAAAGACGGUCUUGCUGUCACUUAUAGAUGGAUCCGCGCUGCAUUAGCUAGUUGGUAAGGUAACGGCUUAUCAAGGCAACGAUGCAUAGCCGACCUGAGAGGGUGAUCGGCCACACUGGAACUGAGACACGGUCCAGACUCCUACGGGAGGCAGCAGUAGGGAAUCUUCCGCAAUGGGCGAAAGCCUGACGGAGCAACGCCGCGUGAGUGAUGAAGGUCUUCGGAUCGUAAAACUCUGUUAUUAGGGAAGAACAUAUGUGUAAGUAACUGUGCACAUCUUGACGGUACCUAAUCAGAAAGCCACGGCUAACUACGUG
rnacentral:rRNA from 1 species